GUUCAAACCGGCGUAAGCCAGGUUGGUUUCUAUCUUUAAAAAAUUAAAAUAUUUCAGUACGAAAGGACCUAAUAUUUGAUAAAUUAUUAUUUUUAUAUUGAAUAUAAUUAAUAUAAAUAACUAUU
rnacentral:rRNA from 1 species